UAUAUAUAUAUAUAUAUAUAUAUAUCACAAUAUUGCAUUGAUCUGUAUAAACUAUUAUAAUUCAAGACUGCAUGAGUGUAUGAAUGUGUAUAAGUGUGUGUGUGUGAGAAAGAGAGAGAGAGAGAGAGAGAGAGAGAGAGAGAGAGAGAGAGAUCUUACUAUGACUUUGUGUGGUUUUUACUUCGCCGAAGCUGAUAAGCCCACACAAAGUUGAGAUCACAAUUCAAUUGGUUAUCAUACCCAUAAGUCCUCUGAAGAACAAAAAGCGUUUUGAAGGAUUGCUUAAAGUACAUUAGUUUACAAAGAAACUUUGUUCAUAUGGUCUAUGUGUUUGUUACGUGAAUAUAUUUCAUAAAACGUUAUGAUGUAACUUUAGAUGCUGUCAAUUUGCUGCUAAAUACACAAAACCAUUGAAAGUUAUGUGCACAGUUACAGCUUGAUGCCUAUUGGGUAAAGCCUUGACCAUUCAGCUAGCAGAGUUUCUUUUGUCGUUUGAUAGGACAAAGACAGCCUACAACCUUUGCAAGCCCGCCCAGACAAGUCUAAUAACAUGGCUGGUUUCCGUUUUGAACAUUUGCAACUCGACAUCAAGAUGAAAAUACGUGGGGAAUGUGGGAAGUUCAAGGAGUUGACGCUUUGUUAAAAUAUGAUUGAUAUGGUGUAUAAGGAGUGGGUUGAACACUAUAGGCGUAGCGAAAGAAUGUGUGACGAAUUAGCUUGAGCGGGACUAAUAUGCGAUAGCUUAAUUCAAAAAUGCAAAGAGCUUUGUAGGAUUAAUGAAAUAAGUAAAAAGAGAAGACAGCACGCUUUUAAGAUAAAGGUUGUAGAAUAUUAGUGAGAUAAUCAGUGCGAAUCGGUCGCCUGCAACACAAUAAAUAUAUGAGUAUUUGAUGAGAGCGAGAAGCAAAAACACAGCAAACGAUUUUCUUUCCAGAAUUUCAACAGAGAGCAACGAGGGCAUUUUGGCUUUAUCAUUUUUAAUGAUUCACUCCGGAACAUUGUGUACUUGGCUUGAUCACCGCUAAACAUUGGAAUAAGAAUCUCUGAGGUUGCUAAAAUAUGCGGUGACAAUAUCCAGCACAAACAAUGGUUCACUUCACCUAUAUCGCCCUGUAUGUCUGUAACUUACAUUUGGCAAUUAUUUCAGUAUCGUGGCCACCAUCCCUAGUAAAAAUUUGCGAUUGACUGUCCAGCAAAUUAUAUGUAAGUAAAGAAUAUAACAUAUACAUAUAUGUGAAUAAGUUUGAUAUAAGUAUAUAGAUGUGUGUGUGCGUGUUCCCGUGAUCCUUUGCUGCUUAAUAUACAAGACGUGGCAAAAAGCAUAUCACUACCAAUAUGUCAUUCAGAAGAUAAAACUGAUUAAGAACGCCUUGAAACGUUAAUGUCUUACAUAUAUUAUUGUCUGAAACUAAACUCAAGAAAAAAAAAGGAUAAAAUGAAAAAA